AAAAAUAAAAUAAAUUUACUCUUUGCUUACACUUACAGUAAAUGUACUCAAGGUAGAAUUAAUACCCAAUAAUCAAGAGUUGAAACCCGAAUAAUCAAUGAAACUUGCAACAAACAACAGUAUUGAAACUCUCCACGCUGAUCAUGAAUGACCAAGUCUUAGGUGCCUCAGUGAAGGUCAAUCAACACUUCAAAUCAAUUACAAAUUUUGCUUCUGUAAUCACCAUUCCAGAGAUCAAAACUAAGAGAGGGAUUUUGGAAUUACAGUGCAGCAGUAUGGAAUUGGAUGAGACGAUUCCAUUACGUGGACACUUAAAUGAUGCAACAUCACAGAAUCUGGUUGAAAUGGAAUUACUACCACCAUACUUCCUCCCCAACAGGACUUCAAGAAGUGUAAAACUAACAAAACUUCAGCGUCAAUGCCUAUGAUGUGUUAACUGUAUUGUGUGCAAAGAAAUGGCAUGGCAUUGGUACAAUAUAUUUCAUAAAAAAAAAAAAAAACAAUAAAAGUAUGU